CAAGUCUGAUGGAGCAACGCCGCGUGAGUGAAGAAGGGUUUCGGCUCGUAAAGCUCUGUUGGUAGUGAAGAAAGAUAGAGGUAGUAACUGGCCUUUAUUUGACGGUAAUUACUUAGAAAGUCACGGCUAACUACGUGCCAGCAGCCGCGGUAAUACGUAGGUGGCAAGCGUUGUCCGGAUUUAUUGGGCGUAAAGCGAGUGCAGGCGGUUCAAUAAGUCUGAUGUGAAAGCCUUCGGCUCAACCGGAGAAUUGCAUCAGAAACUGUUGAACUUGAGUGCAGAAGAGGAGAGUGGAACUCCAUGUGUAGCGGUGGAAUGCGUAGAUAUAUGGAAGAACACCAGUGGCGAAGGCGGCUCUCUGGUCUGCAACUGACGCUGAGGCUCGAAAGCAUGGGUAGCGAACAGGAUUAGAUACCCUGGUAGUCCAUGCCGUAAACGAUGAGUGCUAAGUGUUGGGAGGUUUCCGCCUCUCAGUGCUGCAGCUAACGCAUUAAGCACUCCGCCUGGGGAGUACGACCGCAAGGUUGAAACUCAAAGGAAUUGACGGGGGCCCGCACAAGCGGUGGAGCAUGUGGUUUAAUUCGAAGCAACGCGAAGAACCUUACCAGGUCUUGACAUCCAGUGCAAACCUAAGAGAUUAGGAGUUCCCUUCGGGGACGCUGAGACAGGUGGUGCAUGGCUGUCGUCAGCUCGUGUCGUGAGAUGUUGGGUUAAGUCCCGCAACGAGCGCAACCCUUGUCAUUAGUUGCCAUCAUUAAGUUGGGCACUCUAAUGAGACUGCCGGUGACAAACCGGAGGAAGGUGGGGAUGACGUCAAGUCAUCAUGCCCCUUAUGACCUGGGCUACACACGUGCUACAAUGGACGGUACAACGAGAAGCGAACCUGCGAAGGCAAGCGGAUCUCUGAAAGCCGUUCUCAGUUCGGACUGUAGGCUGCAACUCGCCUACACGAAGCUGGAAUCGCUAGUAAUCGCGGAUCAGCACGCCGCGGUGAAUACGUUCCCGGGCCUUGUACACACCGCCCGUCACACCAUGAGAGUCUGUAACACCCAAAGCCGGUGGGAUAACCUUUAUAGGAGUCAGCCGUCUAAGGUAGGACAGAUGAUUAGGGUGAAGUCGUAACAAGGUAGCCGUAGGAGAACCUGCGGCUGGAUCACCUCCUUUCUAAGGAA
rnacentral:rRNA from 1 species